AGAGUUUGAUCCUGGCUCAGAACGAACGCUAGCGGCAUGCCUCAAACAUGCAAGUCGUACGCGAAAGGGGCUUCGGCCCUGAGUAGAGUGGCGCACGGGUGCGUAACACGUAGCUAACGUACCCCCUCGCUGGGGACAACCCCGGGAAACCGGAGCUAAUACCGAAUGAUCUGAUAGUGUCCGCGGACGUUAUCGGUAAAGCUGUAAGGCGCGAGGGGAUCGGGCUGCGGUCCAUUAGCUAGUUGGUGGGGUAAUGGCCUACCAAGGCAACGAUGGAUAGCUGGUCUGAGAGGAUGAUCAGCCACACUGGAACUGGAACACGGUCCAGACUCCCACGGGAGGCAGCAGUUGGGAAUAUUGGACAAUGGGCGCAAGCCUGAUCCAGCAAUGCCGCGUGAGUGAUGAAGGCUUUCGGGUCGUAAAGCUCUUUUAGUGGGGACGAAGGGAAACUUGACGGUACCCACAGAAAAAGCACCGGCUAACUCCGUGCCAGCAGCCGCGGUAAUACGGAGGGUGCGAGCGUUGUUCGGAAUCAUUGGGCGUAAAGCGCGUGUAGGCGGUUAUCUAAGUCUGGUGUGAAAGCCCGGGGCUCAACCCCGGAAGUGCACUGGAUACUGGAUGACUAGAGGGCGAGAGAGGAAAGUGGAAUUCAUGGUGUAGGGGUGAAAUCCGUAGAUAUCAUGAGGAACAUCUGUGGCGAAGGCGACUUUCUGGCUCGUUUCUGACGCUGAGACGCGAAAGCGUGGGGAGCAAACAGGAUUAGAUACCCUGGUAGUCCACGCCCUAAACGAUGAGUACUAGUUGUCGGGAUACCUAAUUGUCUCGGUGACGAAGCUAACGCAUUAAGUACUCCGCCUGGGGAUUACGGUCGCAAGAUUAAAACUCAAAGGAAUUGACGGGGGCCCGCACAAGCGUG
rnacentral:rRNA from 1 species